rnacentral:rRNA from 1 species
CCUACGGGCGGCAGCAGUGAGGAAUAUUGGUCAAUGGGCGCGAGCCUGAACCAGCCAAGUCGCGUGAGGGAGGACGGCCCUACGGGUUGUAAACCUCUUUUGCCGGGGAGCAACGGGCGUCACGUGUGGCGCCACUGAGAGUACCCGGAGAAAAAGCAUCGGCUAACUCCGUUCCAGCAGCCGCGGUAAUACGGAGGAUGCGAGCGUUAUCCGGAGUUAUUGGGUUUAAAGGGUGCGUAGGCGGAUCGUUAAGUCCGUGGUAAAAUUGAGGGGCUAAACCCCUUCCCACCAGUGAAACUGGCGCUCUUGAGUGGAAGAGAAGUAUGCGGAAUGCGUGGUGUAGCGGUGAAAUGCAUAGAUAUCACGCAGAACCCCGAUUGCGAAGGCAGCAUGCCGGCUUCCGACGGACGCUGAAGCACGAAAGCGUGGGGAUCGAACAGGAUUAGAUACCCUGGUAGUC